GAUGAACGCUGGCGGCGUGCCUAAUACAUGCAAGUCGAGCGAACAGACGAGGAGCUUGCUCCUCUGACGUUAGCGGCGGACGGGUGAGUAACACGUGGAUAACCUACCUAUAAGACUGGGAUAACUUCGGGAAACCGGAGCUAAUACCGGAUAAUAUAUUGAACCGCAUGGUUCAAUAGUGAAAGACGGUUUUGCUGUCACUUAUAGAUGGAUCCGCGCCGCAUUAGCUAGUUGGUAAGGUAACGGCUUACCAAGGCAACGAUGCGUAGCCGACCUGAGAGGGUGAUCGGCAACACUGGAACUGAGACAAGGUCAAGACACCUACGGGAGGCAGCAGUAGGGAAACUUCCGAAAUGGGCGAAAGCCUGACGGAGCAACGCCGCGGGAGUGAUGAAGGUCUUCGGAUCGUAAAACUCUGUUAUUAGGGAAGAACAAAUGUGUAAGUAAAUAUGCACGUAUUGACGGUACCUAAUCAGAAAGCCACGGCUAACUACGUG
rnacentral:rRNA from 1 species